GCUUCGCAGCAAGGCAUUAAAAGCGCAUGCGUAGUUACUGGACAAAUUCCGGGGGCGGUACGGCGCAAGUGAGAAGGAAAAUAAACAAAGUAGCCACUAUUAAAGCGCAAGCGCAGAAUUUAAAGCGGGAAAGGGAGCGAUUAUUUUGUUUAGGCGAAUGUUGUCCAAGGGGGUGGAGUCUUGUGUAGGCUGAAACGUUCAGCGCUUUCCGCAUUAUUUUCGUUUGCAAGCGGUUGAGGAGGAGGAGCCCUUUUUUACAGUAUUUUGUGCCUGGUUGCUGAGCAACAUUAUCGGCGCCUAGGGAAAACUAUUGCAUACCUUCGGCCGUUUAACCUGCAAGAUAAAAAAAUGAAGUAACCUACAAGAUAAAAAAUGAAGUAACUUUAACCUACAAGAUAAAAAAUGAAGUUUCUUUGAUGAUUAUUUGUUACACUUUGACAUUUUUGCAGAGCUGAUUAGAUCUGUUAGGAUGGAAACAAAGCACUUAGCAUGGCCUGAGAAUUAAAGAACAUCAUUUGAAUCGACUUUCAUCUGAGGUUAAUCCAACAGAAGUAUGGAAGGAGAUUGCAGAAAUGAAAUAUGGAAACUAGAAAAAUACGCUAAGUAGAAUAGUUUUUCUUAUAUCAAAUAAAAGAGAAAAUAACAAAAUAUUAAGAAAAUGUUUCUUUGAAAAAAAUUAAAACAUCCUAAUGGGUGAUACUAAACUUUCUCCAGAAGCAGACUCCAGCGAUCUUAAUAAUAUACGUAUGAUGGCAUAAUGCGGGGGUCUUCAAACUUGGCCCUUUUAUGGCUUGUGGACUUCAAACUCCUAGAAUUCCUCAGCCAGGCACGCUGGCUGAGAAAUCUGGGAGUUGAAGUCCACAAGUCAUAAAAGGGCCAAGUUUGAAGACCCCUGGCAUAAUAGAUUAGCAAAACGUAAAAUAAUCUCAAGGGGAAGAGCCAUAUGUGGCUACAGUGCACACGGCAGUCUGUUUGCAUAGCUAAUAAAUCCUGAGCCAGCCAGUUCCAUUUCUAGACUCAAUCCAAUAUUUCCUGCACUUCUUUUGGAGUCCUGAAAUAUUUAUUCUUCUUGCAAUUCGUACAAUAGAAGUCCUUGAAGCUUGCUUUGUGUGACAAGGUACCCUAAUACAUGUUAAGAGCUGGGAGAAAAACAUCUGAAACUGAAAAAGAAAUAUCAGAAAUUACCAUGACUGAUUAUUAAGAGGAAAUACCAGUGCAGACCGCCAUUAAAAAAGAAAUGUGGAUUAAAUUUAAUAUUUGUAUAUUAGAAAAACCAUUUAUUUCAGGGGAUGAAAAGAUGAAAAAUAGCCAUCUAUUUAUUAAAUAUUAACUGUUGCAUACUUCUCAAUCUAGUGCCUUUCAUUUAUUAAGAUUGCAGCUUCUAUAAUAUGGUUGUGCUGAUUGGGAGUUCUUAAAAACUGCUGUAGUAAUAAUUCUGCAGGAUUUCUUCAGAUACAACAUGUUUUUUCAGAUGUAUAAUAGCCCAGUCAAUUUGUGGGCAUCAUUUUGGGGAAAGGCUAGUAUAUAGUGAUAACAAUAUACUUUGGUAUUUUCUUGGUCUGUUAUGAUUCAGUUUUCCAUCUGUUAGAAUUUUCAUGUUUGCUGCUUGUUUUCUUUUUUAAUUUAAAUAUCAAAGCCUACCUAUUUUCCUAUUGCCUCCUAUCUUGAUUCAGUAUAAUAUCUUCAUUACUUUAUUCCCUUGUGCUGGGCAUUUUUCCUCCAGUUUAUUCAGAAUAUCCCAAGUGGUCUCAUCUCUUGCCAUAUUACAUUUUCCCUUAAAUUGACCUUUGUCAAUAUAUUCAGUGUUAAGUUUCUCCUCUUUUCUCAUAUUUUUACUCCAUAUUGCUUCUCUUCCUUUUUCAUGUAGUUUCCAUGUUGUACUCCUGAGUUUACACAGCUGUUCUAUUAUCAGCACCCUUGUAUUUAUUUUCAUUUUUACUUAAACCCUUUAAAAAAGGCUUCACUUUUUUUUCAAAGUGCUUUAUAAAUAACCUAAGUUUUGUCCACUUGUUCCUCUACUAAUGAUUUCCCUAGCACACCCCCUUUACUACAUCCCUGCUGUGCCUAUUCAACAUGUCUGUUACGUUGCUGUUAUGUUCUAUAUAGAACCUGGCAUGCUCUGAAGUUGUUUGUUGUUUGUAAUGCUUUGACAACUGAAGGGCCCAUAGGCUGUUUAUCAUGGUAAUGCUAUAGUAACAAAAUCAUAAAAAUAACCCUUUGCAAGUGCUAAGGGAAAGUUCCUUUACAGAAAAAGGAGAUUGUUGGCACAGGAGAGGAACACCCAGGUGUAUCUCACUCUAUUUUCUCAAUAGAUUUUUUUUCUAUUCCUCUCAUGUGGGUUCCCCCUUCCAUUCAACAGUACUUCUGCUUCUAAUCUGUCUAUACAUAUAAUUCAAAGACAAGGCACAAUGUUGAAUUUUGCCUAAUCCCACGAGUCCAGAGCCCUCACACAUGGAUAUUACCAUGGCAUUAAGCAUAUUGCUAUCCAAAACUUUUAGCUGAUCCCUUUGUUUCUCAUUUAAGGAAACUGGAGCUCUUGGUAUUUCUGUAGAGUAUCUAGCUGCAGAAAGUAAUUAAUAGUAAUAUCAUAACAUCAUCAUCUGGUGACACAUCCAGUGAGGCUUCAUAGAAUUUUUUCUUAGAAUAGAAUAUUGCUGGAAGGGACUUUGGAGGUCUUCUAGUCCAGCCCACUGCUCAAGCAGGAGAACCUAUACCAUUUCAGACAACUGUCUAAUAGAUUUAGAUUCCAUUCUGACCUAAACAUUUCCAUUAAGUAAAUUUCCUUGUUUCUAAUUCCGUUUGCACCUUAUUUACUAAGUCAGGGAGCAAUGAAAAUCUUUGACCCAAUUAUUUGGUUAAGCACUUUUUCUCUGAAUAGCAAUCUGAACAUAAUUUGUAACUUAUCUCCUGAUUUCUAAAAAAAGGUUAUAAUUCUUUUGCACUUAAAUCUGGAGUGAUACAAAGUAUCCGUGUGUGUGUGUGUGUAUGUGUGUGUGUGUGUGUGUGUGUGUGUGCAAAAAAAGAAUUUUCAAAGCAAAAUACCAUUCUUCUACAGUUUUCUCCAGAAAAGCUGAGUUCAGUUGUAUGUAACAGCAGAACUGCAAGAUAUCUUAACAUUGAAAAAUAUUGCCUCCGCUUGUUGGAAGCAUUAGAAUAUUACUCCAUGUGCUAUGAGAACCUUGGUGCAAAUCAGAUGGACUCCCUUCCCUGAAGGUAAGAGUGCAUUUACAAGAGUUUUUAACAAUUGAUGCUUACAUUGCCAUUUGAGGGUGUGAAAGCCCUAAUGUGGGAUCAUGGGGUUGCUGUGAUUUUGAGAAGUCUUAAGGAAAAGCACAUUAUACAGUGAUAGAUCAGUGCAGUUUUUUGAGGGAAGGCAAUUCGUUUUGCAGUUAAUUUCCCAGAAUAAGAGCUUCUAGGACACGCUCCUUGCCUAGCCUUAUUGAAUCCAAACAAAGACUCCCAUUUGAUUACCCUUGUAGGGAUUCCCCAUCCCACCCCAGUUGGAUCUUGAGUACAUGAGGAUUGUCUCCACAAAAAUGGGCCUGCUUUGUCCAUGCAGCCAAGGGAAGAGUGCCUCAGGAUACACCAAACAGAGAAGCCCUGGUGUGCAUAUGACGGUCUUGGCUCCAGAUCAUAGAGAUUGAAGGCCCAACUGAGCCGAUCAUCUAUAGUGCCACGGAGAAUAAUGGACAAACCAGCCACAAAAUCCUGCAAGAGAGACAAGGCAUUACAAGAGGAAACCACUGUGGAUCAAGUUAUUCUCAGAAGCUCCAUAGUGCCUAAUAUUAUCAAUGUUUAUGUUGAACAUGAACCCAAACAAGAAAGCAGCAUUUAAAAAAUAAGGCAGGUCCUGGAAGCGCCUCUUCUGAUCUCUCCAGCGAGUGGUUGGCAUAUGCUGGGGUUCCCAUUCUGCACCCAAGAAGUUUUAGAAGUUGCUGGGAAGUUUAAAGAAGCACUAAUCUACAUCUUUUUGCGGUGGUGGUGGAGAGAUCAUCCCCUGAUUAGUAGUAGCUUCUUACCACCUUAAUUCACAUUUUUAUUCCACAGCUGGCUCUCUAAUUGUGCCCUUCUUCCUAGUGCACAGAAUCACGCUUGUCAAUUUCAGUCAGGACUUUUGUUUAGUAUCCACUGCAGACUUAUGCACAAGCUUCUUGUAGUUGGACUUUUAUCUCUUCUUUCCUCCCUGCAAGCUCUGUCACAUCCUCACUUAGGCACACACUUACUCUGUUUCCUGCCAAUUGUUCUUCUGAAUUAUUGAUGCCAGCAUUUUAAGAGCCACAAUCAAUAACACCAGAUUUUCAAUCUGCCCUAUAGUCCCUCUCUCUUUCUAUUAAUAUGUCCAGGUUUUGGACCACCAAUGAGUUAGCCAGUUUGAAGCUUGUGGAUAGUAGCAAAGAUGGUAAUGUCCUUCAAAACAAUGGGUUCUAAGGACAGCACUCCAGACACCAUUAAUCCCUGGCAUUGCCUGGCAUGGUUUGUGGUGGAGCUUUCCUAAACUAUUAAAGCACAACAUUUUGUAUCCAUUUACAAAAAGCUUUUAUCAGAAGUUGUUUAAACUUGGUGUUUUUGUGUGAUUAGCUUACACUCACAGCUUGCCUAUUGAAAAACUCCCAGUAGUCCUCAGCUUACGACCAGUCACUUAAUAGCCAUUUAAAGUUAUGACAGACUUCCCCAAAGCUACUUACAACCUAUUUUCAAGUUUACUUUUAGUUUCUUGCAAAAAACACACAUUGAGGAAAAUUGAUUCAUUUAACAACCAUGGCAUUCACUUAAUGACUAUGCCAAUCGCUUAAUGACCAUCAAACAAAUGUCAAAAAAUUAGGUCCAGUCAAGGGAUUUCUCAGCUUACAACUUCAACAACCUACGACUGUAAUUCCACACUCAAUUACGGCCAUAAAUCAAGGAUUACCUGUAUAGCUUUUCAGUAGCUAUUAUAAGCGAUGACUAUUUAACAAGCUAAACUUCCUUUUAGUAAUUUCAUUUUAAACCUUCAUCUCCAUCCAAUGUCAAAAAAUGCAGUGAGAAUAUUUCUUGCUCAAUAAUCUGGCAAUGACAGUUGUACUAUUUUCUCUGUGUAUUAAUAGAUUGGUAGAGAAAAGAAAGACAUUGGGAAGAUCUGGAAAAAGAUUUUUGCUGCAUCAUAAUAAAGUGAUUACAGUAAAGAUAAAGGAUUAUGGUGUAUUUUUUCCCAGAGUAGUGCCCUUCAGAUGAAAUACAAUUUCUAUUAUCUUCUGAUAGUAUGAUUAUAUCAUGUCAGCAUUAUGGACUACACUAUAUAAAGUUUUCAACAUCUAUUUAAAAUAAUGAAUAGAAAGAAAUCAGACAUCAGAAAUGAUAAUUUCAAAAAAAUCAAUGAGGGACAUUUCACCAGCCAGAGCACCUCAUUGCUGACCUCAGAGUAGUAAUUCUUUGGAGGGAAAACACCGUAAGAUACAUUAUGUAGCUGAACUUAUUUUAUUAAGGAGUUUAUUAUUUCUUAAUCACCUUAAUCUUUAUCACUGUUGCUUACCAUCAUGCAUAUGUUAAUUAACUGAUUCAAGACUAUAUAUCAGUGCUUCUCAACCAUGGCAACUUUACAAUGUGCUGACUUCAACUCCCAGAAUUCCUCAGUGUUGCUGGCUAGAGAAUUCUGGGAGUUGAAGUCCGCACAUCGUACAGUUGCCAAGGUUGAGAAACACUGGUCUAUAUCAUGUUGAACAAUUGUUUUGUGAAUGACAACUAUCAAUAGAUAAAUCAUUGAUUUUCUGUUCUUAUUUUAUUUUCCUAUAUUUUUUUCCUUUUACUCCCCUCUUCUCCAUCAGUUUAUCUCUUGGGAGCCAUGAAAACUUAUACUAUAUUAAAUGUAUCAGUUCUCAAGGUGCUUUAAGAUGCAACAGAUUAACACAAAAAACUCUCUGGAAACUUGUAGACUAUGAAGAUCGGGUUUUUUCCUUCUUUUUUUUUUUUUUUUUGCUUGCUGCAUCAAUAGUCUCCUGAUUCAGCAACUCUCACCCACCUCAUUUUGUCCCUUUUUCUGUUGGGCAGCAGCCAGAAAAAAAAUAAAAAAACAGCACACUCUUUGGCAUAACCACAGAUAUAGGGUGAUUGAUUGUGGUGGGCUGAUGGAGGGAUUCUAUCCAUUAAAGUUGUAACCCAUUAGAGGGUUUCAUUUCACCAGGGAGCAUGAUACAGCAAUGCUUGGGAAUACUCUCAUGGUCAAAUAUAACACGGGGAGAGAGGUAGAGACAGUCUUGAGUGCCAGGGACAUGAGAAUCAGUUUGGGCACAGUUGUAGGGACUGACCUACAUGAAUGUUCCCUAAGCCGCCCCAAUAAUGUGCUUCCUUGUUGGGAAGAAGGAAGUCCAUAUAUGAUAUAGAAAUCUGGAGCCUCAAUAUAUAUAUUAAAUAAAACACACACAAAAAAAUCAGAAAGGGUCUUGACUGGCACUUCUCCUUCCUCAAAAAGUCUUCUGGGGAAAUAAAAGUGCUGCAGUUUCGUUCUAGCUCUGGUAAGAAGAGAAUCAACAGAAUUCACCAACUAGGGAUUCAGUCUCUCAAAUAAAUUUAUCAGGCUAUUGUUUACCAAGGAAAAAUAAUGCAGAAGAAAGCAAUUCUGCCAAGCUUAGGAGUGAAUAUUGCUUUGAUCUCUCCUAAUACAGUGAUAUUGUAGGCUAUAUUUAUGGCAUCAUAAAUAGUAUCUCAAGCUGUAUUCGGCAGGACUAACACAAGAUAUAUGUAUGAUUCCAUACAUAGGAGCCAACCUGACUAGCAGCUGGAAUUUGUUUCACCAUGGAUGCUUAUUUCAAGCACUCUAUAAAACACCUGAUUAAACUGGGUAACACAACCCUGUCACACCACCAUCCUUCCCCUACCUGCCCAGCAGAGCAUUUGAAACAUGAGGAGACAUUAUUCUGUCUAAUGACAGACAGAAUCAUAUAAUUCAAGGAAGUCAUGUAGAUCAUCAGAUCCAGCCCCCAGCUCAAUUUAUAGGGAUCCAGAUUAAAAUUGUCUAAUUAAUUAAUUAAUCUACCCUUAAUUAUAUGGGUAAUUAAUUUCUAGUGAAGGAAAGCAGACCACUUCUCAGGACAAUUGAUUCCAGCAUCUAACUUGUCUUAGGAAUCUUUUCUUAACACUGAAACUAUUUUUUCCUUCCUACAGACUAUUAGUCUGAAUCUUGCAUAUUCUAUCUUGAUUUAUUUUAUUUUAUUUUUUCAUAAAAUUUAUAUAGCUGCCCAUCUCACUGAAGCAACAUGUGGCAGUACACAAAAAAUAUGCAAACUACAUAUAAAAAUAACCACAGAAAAAAAUAUAAAAAAUUUAUAAAAAUAUAAAAAUCACAUUAGCAGUAAGUAUUAUAAAUCAGAGAAGUGGAGAAUGGAUUCUGACCCCCUCUUCUAUAGCACUAUGUUUAAUUUAUUAUCUCCAGUCUUUUCUUCUCAAUACUACCCAUUUCACUCAGCAUCUUAUCACUGAAUUUAGUUUUCUGCCCUGUUGCCUUUGUCUGAACCUUCUUAACAUAAAUAACUAGAAGUAAAGAUAGUACCUGAGGUACAGUCUAGCUAAGGCAGCAUAGAGUGGAAAAAAUACUUCCUGUGCUUCAGAAACUGUAUGUUUAUUGAAGUAAUUAAAUUGCAUUUGCCAUUUUUUGCAGUUAUAUCACACUGCUGAUUCAUUUUCAGCUUAUAAUUCCCUACAAUUCAAAGAUCCGUUUUACAUCUACUGUUGCCUAACCUUGUAACAUCUGUACCUAUCUGUGCAUUUUCUUUUUCCUUGAAGAUCAGCUUUAUAUGAUUCCGUGGAAAUGUGGAACCCUUCUAUUAAAGAACAAUAUACUGUAUACCUUUGGUCAUCAGUUAUGGGAAGAGAAAAUAAUAAAUGGGCAUUGCUUUACA